rnacentral:rRNA from 1 species
AACGAACGCUGGCGGCAGGCUUAACACAUGCAAGUCGAACGGUUGUAGCAAUACAGCAGUGGCAGACGGGUGAGUAACACGUGGGAACCUUCCUAGGGGUACGGAACAACUCAGGGAAACUUGAGCUAAUACCGUAUACGUCCGUGAGGAGAAAGAUUUAUCGCCCUUAGACGGGCCCGUGUCGGAUUAGCUAGCUGGUGGGGUAACGGCCUACCAAGGCGACGAUCCGUAGCUGAUCUUAGAGGAUGAUCAGCCACACUGGGACUGAGACACGGCCCAGACUCCUACGGGAGGAAGCAGUGGGGAAUCUUGGACAAUGGGCGCAAGCCUGAUCCAGCCAUGCCGCGUGAGUGAAGAAGGUCUUCGGAUUGUAAAGCUCUUUUGCCAGGGACGAUAAUGACGGUACCUGGAGAAUAAGCCCCGGCAAACUUCGUGCCAGCCGCCGCCGUAA